GACAGUGUGGCGUAGUGGUUUGAGUGCUGGACUAAGACUCAGGAGAGCAGGGUUCGAAUCCCAGCUUGGCCA